AGUUUUGUCUUCCACAAGGUUCUGAUUACAAUGCGGAUAAACUCGCCGCAAUAUUUUCAAAGUAUACAAAACACCUGCUACGGCCUUGUUUUUCUGGAAAUGUGAGGCAGAAACAAUGUACUCCCAGCCAAAGAAAGUCGCCUUCUAAAUGGUUUGCAAUCGCAUAUAGAGAAGCAAUAUCUCACACGCGUUCGUGUGAUAUUUUAUAUUCAAGAACAUCACAGAAUUUUUAUGAUUUUGAAGUCGAGUUUCGACGCCUGGGUUUGCUGACAUUGGAUUGUUGGAGAGAAUAUUGUAAGCGUUCGUUAUCAAGAA